rnacentral:rRNA from 1 species
CGCCUUGCCAGCCCGCUACAGAAACUUAAAUGAAUUGACGGGGGCCCGCACAAGCGGUGGAGUAUGUGGUUAAUUCGAUGCAACGCGAAGAACCUUACCUGGUCUUGACAUCCCGGAGACCCUUAGGAAACUAGGGGGUGCUUCCAUCUGGAAGAAUCUGGAGACAGGUGCUGCAUGGCUGUCGUCAGCUCGUGUCGUGAGAUGUUGGGUUAAGUCCCGCAACGAGCGCAACCCUUGCCUUUAGUUGCCAGCAGUUCGGCUGGGCACUCUAAAGGGACUGCCGGUGUUAAACCGGAGGAAGGUGGGGAUGACGUCAAGUCCUCAUGGCCUUUAUGACCAGGGCUACACACGUACUACAAUGGCCGAUACAAAGGGCAGCGACACUGCGAGGUGAAGCCAAUCCCGUAAAAUCGGUCUCAGUCCGGAUUGGAGUCUGCAACUCGACUCCAUGAAGUUGGAAUCGCUAGUAAUCGUGGAUCAGCAUGCCACGGUGAAUACGUUCCCGGGCCUU